AUUGAACGCUGGCGGCAAGCCUAACACAUGCAAGUCGAACGAGUGGCGGCCGGGUGAGUAAUCUCUGGGAAACUGCCCGAUGGAGGGGGAUAACUACUGGACACGGUAGCUAAUACCGCAUACCAUCGGAUGUGCCCAGAUGGGAUUAGAUAGUAGGUGGGGUAACGGCAAACCUAAGCGACGAUCCCUAGCUGGUCUGCGAGGAUGACCAGCCCCACUGGAGCUGAGACACGGUCCAGACUCCUACGGGAGGCAGCUGUGGGGAAUAUUGAACAAUGGGCGCAAGCCUGAUGCAGCCCUGCCGCGUGUAUGAAGAAGGCCUUCGGGUUGUACAGUACUUUCAGCGAGGAGGCGUUACUCGCAGAAGAAGCACCGGCUAACUCCGUGCCAGCAGCCGCGGUAAUUC
rnacentral:rRNA from 1 species